UUUAAUUCGAAGCAACGCGAAGAACCUUACCAGGUCUUGACAUCCUCUGACAACCCUAGAGAUAGGGCUUCUCCUUCGGGAGCAGAGUGACAGGUGGUGCAUGGUUGUCGUCAGCUCGUGUCGUGAGAUGUUGGGUUAAGUCCCGCAACGAGCGCAACCCUUGAUCUUAGUUGCCAUCAUUUAGUUGGGCACUCUAAGGUGACUGCCGGUGACAAACCGGAGGAAGGUGGGAUGACGUCAAAUCAUCAUGCCCCUUAUGACCUGGGCUACACACGUGCUACAAUGGACGGUACAAAGAGCUGCAAGACCGCGAGGUGGAGCUAAUCUCAUAAAACCGUUCUCAGUUCGGAUUGUAGGCUGCAACUCGCCUACAUGAAGCUGGAAUCGCUAGUAAUCGCGGAUCAGCAUGCCG
rnacentral:rRNA from 1 species